AGUGAACGCUGGCGGCAGGCCUAACACAUGCAAGUCGAACGGCAGCACAGUAAGAGCUUGCUCUUACGGGUGGCGAGUGGCGGACGGGUGAGGAAUACAUCGGAAUCUACUUUUUCGUGGGGGAUAACGUAGGGAGACUUACGCUAAUACCGCAUACGACCUACGGGUGAAAGCAGGGGAUCUUCGGACCUUGCGCGAUUGAAUGAGCCGAUGUCGGAUUAGCUAGUUGGCGGGGUAAAGGCCCACCAAGGCGACGAUCCGUAGCUGGUCUGAGAGGAUGAUCAGCCACACUGGAACUGAGACACGGUCCAGACUCCUACGGGAGGCAGCAGUGGGGAAUAUUGGACAAUGGGCGCAAGCCUGAUCCAGCCAUACCGCGUGAGUGAAGAAGGCCUUCGGGUUGUAAAGCCCUUUUGUUGGGAAAGAAAAGCAGCAGGUUAAUACCCCGCUGUUCUGACGGUACCCAAAGAAUAAGCACCGGCUAACUUCGUG
rnacentral:rRNA from 1 species